CGGACAUUUGUUGCAGACGGACGCACUGUUGGGGCAGUGGAAAAUCAUUGCCAAAAACGACAGAAGAGCGUCUCGCAUGGACAACAUUAAAUCAGACAUUUCAGCGCAGAUAUGCUGAAAGCUUCCCAGCAAAGUGCACCAGCGUGAGUUGGAGUGGCAGGAUAAUGGCAGCGGUCAGCGCCGAGAUGGAGGAAUAAUGGAGUUCUUCGCGAGUCAACGCUGAGCCGCUGACCUCCCACCGCGUUCCGCACAUCCUCCGCUCCUCCGCCGUCGCGUCCAUCAUUUAACCGAGCUCCGCCGAGCUUUGCUGGGAAGAACAGCAAAUGGAAGCCCGCCCGUGUAAUGAGGACGUUGGUCCCAAUUGGAAGGUUAAUGGCUACCAACACAGUGGAACCCCGACAGAUCACGAGAACUGCAUGACUCCGAGGGCAAUUUCACAUAGAAUCUCUGCUUUUUGUGUCCAUUCUCUGUGUGAAUGAGUCGGAGGAAAAUCCAAUUCCAAAAAGGCAAUGGGAUUUGAGAUGGGGCGGGGAAGCAAAUUGCACCAAGGUGAUGCCGGACCGCUCAAGAGGACCUCGAGGAAGCAGAAGAAGGAAGAGGAAAAAAAGUAAGUUCCAACACAAUAGAGGACAUUGCUGUUAUCUUUGCUGUUGGUCGUGUUUUUAUAAUUGAUUUGCCCCCACGGCACAGCGGUUGGGCAAUCACAAAAAUCCUGUCACUCCUCUUCUUUUGUGCUGUACACUGAUGAGGUCAUUGGCUCAAGGUGGCCCCAGUUACUUGUCGCUCGGUCCACAUAGGAGAUGGUCGAAGGGGUGGAGGACAUGCCGUAUUGGUUCAGACUA